GUCUACGGCCAUACAACCCUGAACAUGCCUGAUCUUGUCUGAUCUCAGAAGCUAAGCAGGAUCGGGCUUAGUACUUCGAUGGUUAGUACUUCGAUGGAAGACCACCUAGGAAUACCAGAUGCUGUAGGUG
rnacentral:rRNA from 1 species